UACGUAGGGGGCGAGCGUUAUCCGGAUUCACUGGGCGUAAAGGGCGCGCAGGUGGUACGUCAAGUUGGAUGUGAAAUCCCACGGCUCAACCGUGGAACGGCAUUCAAAACUGGCGGACUAGAGGGCAGCAGGGGGAGGCGGAAGUCCCGGUGGAGCGGUGAAAUGCGUAGAUAUCGGGAGGAACACCAGUGGCGAAGGCGGCCUCCUGGGCUGUACCUGACGCUGAGGCGCGAAAGCGUGGGGAGCAAACCGG
rnacentral:rRNA from 1 species